AAUUAUUUAUUUGAUGGUUUCUUACUACAUGGAUAACCGUAGUAAUUCUAGAGCUAAUACAUGCGUAAAGUCCCGACUCUCGCGGGGAGGGAUGUAUUUAUUAGAUUAAAAACCAAUGCGGCCUUUGGUCGGUUUUGUGUUGAUUCAUAGUAACUUUUCGGAUCGCAUGGCUUCACGCCGGCGACAGUUCAUUCAAAUUUCUGCCCUAUCAGCUUUCGACGGUAGUGUAGUGGACUACCGUGGCAUUUACGGGUGACGGAGAAUUAGGGUUCGAUUCCAGAGAGGGAGCCUGAGAAACGGCUACCACA
rnacentral:rRNA from 1 species